rnacentral:rRNA from 1 species
UUUCUGUUGUAUUUUUAUAAUAUUAUUAAGGUAAUAUUUAUAAUAUCAACAUCCUUCCUAUUAUAUUUUUAAUAUAUAGGAGAUUUUACUUUGAGAAAAUUAGAGUGCUUAAAGCAGGCAACUGCCUUGAAUACUCCAGCAUGGAAUAAUAAGUAAGGACUUUUGUCUUUCUUGUUGGUUCUAGGAUAAAAGUAAUGGUUAAUAGGGACAGUUGGGGGCAUUCGUAUUCAACAGUCAGAGGUGAAAUUGUUGGAUUUGUUCAAGACGAACUACUGCGAAAGCAUUUGCCAAGGAUGUUUUCAUUAAUCAAGAACGAAAGUUAGGGGAUCGAAGACGAUCAGAUACCGUCGUAGUCUAACCAUAAACUAUGCC